ensembl:snoRNA Small nucleolar RNA SNORA18
CCUGAGGUCUAUCCCGACUGGCCCCUCACAGUAGAGUCGUGUCGUUGGAAAUGCCUCAAAGACGAACUCUGUGGUAUAGCUUUACCCAUCGUGUUACUCCCGUUAACUCUGUGGGCAAAUGCUGCAGGACAAAA